AGCGGCGGAGCAUGCGGAUUAAUUCGAUGCAACGCGAAGAACCUUACCAAGGCUUGACAUACACCAGAACACCGUAGAAAUACGGGACUCUUUGGACACUGGUGAACAGGUGGUGCAUGGUUGUCGUCAGCUCGUGUCGUGAGAUGUUGGGUUAAGUCCCGCAACGAGCGCAACCCUCGUUCUAUGUUGCCAGCACGUAAUGGUGGGAACUCAUGGGAUACUGCCGGGGUCAACUCGGAGGAAGGUGGGGAUGACGUCAAAUCAUCAUGCCCCUUAUGUCUUGGGCUUCACGCAUGCUACAAUGGCCGGUACAAAGGGCUGCAAUACCGUGAGGUGGAGCGAAUCCCAAAAAGCCGGUCCCAGUUCGGAUUGAGGUCUGCAACUCGACCUCAUGAAGUCGGAGUCGCUAGUAAUCGCAGAUCAGCAACGCUGCGGUGAAUACGUUCCCGGGCCUUGUACACACCGCCCGUCAAGUCAUGAAAGUCGGUAACACCUGAAGCCGGUGGCCCAACCCUUGUGGAGGGAGCCGUCGAAGGUGGGAUCGGUAAUUAGGAGUAAGUCGUAACAAGGUAGCCGUACCGGAAGGUGCGGCUGGAUCACCUCCUU
rnacentral:rRNA from 1 species